AGCGAACGCUGGCGGCAGGCCUAACACAUGCAAGUCGAACGGAUCCUUCGGGAUUAGUGGCGGACGGGUGAGUAACACGUGGGAACGUGCCUUUUGGUUCGGAACAACUCAGGGAAACUUGAGCUAAUACCGAAUGUGCCCUUCGGGGAAAGAUUUAUCGCCAUUAGAGCGGCCCGCGUCUGAUUAGCUUGUUGGUGAGGUAAAGGCUCACCAAGGCUACGAUCAGUAGCUGGUCUGAGAGGAUGAUCAGCCACAUUGGGACUGAGACACGGCCCAAACUCCUACGGGAGGCAGCAGUGGGGAAUCUUGCGCAAUGGGCGAAAGCCUGACGCAGCCAUGCCGCGUGAAUGAUGAAGGUCUUAGGAUUGUAAAAUUCUUUCACCGGGGACGAUAAUGACGGUACCCGGAGAAGAAGCCCCGGCUAACUUCGUGCCAGCAGCCGC
rnacentral:rRNA from 1 species